rnacentral:rRNA from 1 species
CCCUUAGAUGUCCUGGGCCGCACGCGCGUUACACUGAUGCAUUCAACGAGCUUAUAACCUUGGCCGAGAGGCCUGGGCAAUCUUGUUAACGUGCAUCGUGAUAGGGAUAGAUUAUUGAAAUUAUUAAUCUUAAACGAGGAAUGCCUAGUAAGCGCAAGUCAUCAACUUGCGUUGAUUACGUCCCUGCCCUUUGUACACACCGCCCGUCGCUACUACCGAUUGAAUGGUUUAGUGAGGCCUUCGGAUCCGCGACUCGUUUGUGGAGAAGUUGGACAAACUCAGUCAUUUAGAGGAAGUAAAAGUCGUAACA